rnacentral:rRNA from 1 species
AUACGGAGGAUCCGAGCGUUAUCCGGAUUUAUUGGGUUUAAAGGGUGCGCAGGCGGCCAUUUAAGUCAGCGGUUAAAUCGUGGGGCUCAACCCCAUUCUGCCGUUGAUACUGGGUGGCUUGAUUGCGGUCGAGGUUGGCGGAAUUCGUUGUGUAGCGGUGAAAUGCAUAGAAUGACGAAGAACACCGAUUGCGUAGGCAGCUGACCAGACCGCAAAUGACGCUCAUGCACGAAAGUGCGGGGAUCGAACAGGAUUAGAUACCCUGGUAGUCCGCACAGUAAACGAUGAAUACUUGUUUUCGGCGAUAUAAUGUCGGAGGCAAAGCGAAAGCGAUAAGUAUUCCACCUGGGGAGUACGCCGGCAACGGUGAAACUCAAAGGAAUUGACGGGG